CAGCAGUAGCCACGGGAAUACGGAGGGUGCAAGCGUUAAUCGGAAUUACUGGGCGUAAAGCGCACGCAGGCGGUCUGACAAGUCAGAUGUGAAAUCCCCGGGCUUAACCUGGGAACUGCAUUUGAAACUGUCAGGCUGGAGUCUUGUAGAGGGGGGUAGAAUUCCAGGUGUAGCGGUGAAAUGCGUAGAGAUCUGGAGGAAUACCGGUGGCGAAGGCGGCCCCCUGGACAAAGACUGACGCUCAGGUGCGAAAGCGUGGGGAGCAAACAGGAUUAGAUACCCGGGUAGUCCCUGUCUCUUAUAC
rnacentral:rRNA from 1 species